GAUGAACGCUGGCGGCGUGCCUAAUACAUGCAAGUCGAGCGAACGGACGAGAAGCUUGCUUCUCUGAUGUUAGCGGCGGACGGGUGAGUAACACGUGGAUAACCUACCUAUAAGACUGGGAUAACUUCGGGAAACCGGAGCUAAUACCGGAUAAUAUUUUGAACCGCAUGGUUCAAAAGUGAAAGACGGUCUUGCUGUCACUUAUAGAUGGAUCCGCGCUGCAUUAGCUAGUUGGUAAGGUAACGGCUUACCAAGGCAACGAUGCUUAGCCGACCUGAGAGGGUGAUCGGCCAAACUGGAACUGAGACACGGUCCAGACUCCUACGGGAGGCAGCAGUAGGGAAUCUUCCGCAAUGGGCGAAAGCCUGACGGAGCAACGCCGCGUGAGUGAUGAAGGUCUUCGGAUCGUAAAACUCUGUUAUUAGGGAAGAACAUAUGUGUAAGUAACUGUGCACAUCUUGACGGUACCUAAUCAGAAAGCCACGGCUAACUACGUG
rnacentral:rRNA from 1 species